rnacentral:rRNA from 1 species
GACGAACGCUGGCGGCGUGCUUAACAUAUGCAAGUCGAACGAGACGAUUGAAAGCUUGCUUUUGAAAGUCGAGUGGCAAACGGGUGAGUAACGCGUAGACAACCUGCCUUUGAGAUGGGGACAACAGUUCGAAAGGACUGCUAAUACCGAAUGUUGUAUAUUUUCCACAUGGAAGAUAUAUUAAAGAUGGCCUCUAUUUAUAAGCUAUCGCUCAAAGAUGGGUCUGGGUCUGAUUAGCUGGUUGGUGGGGUAACGGCCUACCAAGGCGACGAUCAGUAGCCGGUCUGAGAGGAUGAACGGCCACAUUGGGACUGAGACACGGCCCAGACUCCUACGGGAGGCAGCAGUGGGGAAUCUUCCACAAUGGACGAAAGUCUGAUGGAGCAACGCCGCGUGAGUGAAGAAGGGUUUCGGCUCGUAAAGCUCUGUUGUCGGGGACGAAUGUGCGGUAUUUGAAUAAAGUACUGUAAUGACGGUACCUGACGAGGAAGCCACGGCUAACUACGUGCCAGCCGCCGCAGUAA